GUUCUUCCUGAAUUGACUGAUUCUGAUAAUUCAACCACAUGAACUUUCUGUAAAUGCAAAUAUGUUAACAUAUUUGGGGGCGGCUGUAGAAAAUCCUGCUGUGAUCUGAUUGGCUGACUGUGUCUUGAUAAAGAGCACCUGUGGCCCUUACUAAUUAUGUUUCAGUCUCCUUUUGUUUGAACCAAAAGCUGUUGUUCAGACAUGGCUUGUGUGGAAUCGUUGCGUUAUAAACCAACAAUUACCAUCAAUGCCAUCUGUGAAAUGUCUACUCCUAUAUGUCAGCACAAAUAAACUGGGAAAAGUACUUGAUGACUGAAUGAGUUUUAAUGGACCCACCAUUCCAGUAGCAACAGCCAAAUCAG